rnacentral:tRNA from 1 species
GACCGCGUAGCUCAGUUGGAAGAGCAUUGGGCUAGUAUUCCAAAGGUCGUAGGUUCUAAUCCCACCGUGGCCG